UCAGCAGUUGCCCGGACUGCGGUGUUACAAACGGGGCGCGGCGUGGGCUCAGCUGUUGUUCCUGCAGGGAAUCGCGGUGGGGCGAGGGUCGGCGGGAGGGAAGUCGUGGUCGCGGACCUCUUCUUGCAAAGCGUUUGCUCUUCCCACGAGCAAAAGCAGCGGGGAAGCGAAGCCCCCAAACUCCCAAAAGGGUUCCCGAGAAAUCGGACUUACCGCACUCUCUUCUGACAAGCGGACAGCAGAGAGUGUGGGUGACAACGUGUUAUUUUAUUUUUUAAUCAUAGGAAUGCUCUGCCACCCUGAACUAACUUGGUCAUGUUUUGCUUGCUCCUGGUUUAACUUAUGAGAGAGCUUCAUUUGAGUAAAAAGAAAUGCACAUCUUGCCUCAAAUAAUGAUGUAAAGAGAAAAACAUGUAUUUAACACCCAAAGAGACUUCUGCCUCCAAGGAAGACAGACAGUAUUCUUCAAAAAGUCCAAUGCUGGCUGGGGAAUUCUGGGAGUUGAAGUCCACACCUCUUAAAGUUGCUGAGGUUGAGUAACAGUGCUAAAGGUUUCUAGGAAUCUGGCCACUCUGGGUAAGGACCUUCUUUACUUUGGGUCCAGGUCAUUGGGGAGGGUCUUUUGUAGUUUGAAGUAAUCAGGGAAUAUCUCCUUGCUGUGAAAAGGAGACAUUCUGUUCAUCCAAAGCUCUGCUGAGUGGACCCUCUGCUCAGACGCUCAGCGCUGGUGCUUCUGGAGUUCCUGCUACCAGGAGGCCCAGGGGCCCUGGGAGGUUUGCAGCAAACUGUACCAGCUGUGCCAUCAGUGGCUGCGGCCAGAGAAGAGCAGCAAGGUGGAGAUGCCGGACCUGCUGGUGCUGGAGCAGUUCCUGGCCCUGCUGCCCGCCGCGGUGGAGCGCUGGGGCGGGGGAUGCGGGGCGGAGACCUGCUCGCAGGCGGUGGCCCUGGCCGAGGGCUUCCUGCUGAGCCAAGCCGCCGGCGAGGAGGAGCUGCGGGAGAGGCAGGAAAAAGGUUCUGUAUCCCCAUUCAGAUAAUUCCAUAGGAGAAGGGGAAAGACCAAGCCUAUUUCAUCCCAAGAGAAGAAAAUAUGAAGCUGCAGUAUUGGAGGCAGAGGUCAUAAAUAAAUAAAUAAACAAAAAAUC